rnacentral:rRNA from 1 species
AGUCCUCCACCAGCAUAUGAUCAUAGAAAACAGUUAAUGCACCGAUCUGUGGCUCUAGUGCAGCAAAAGUAUCCUCAGCUUCAAGACCUUGUGGAGAGCGGUAAGAAACACCUCAGGGUUGCACUCCAUACUUACAACUUAAUUCAGAUAAAAUCUGAUUUCCUGCUACUAUAUCACCUAAUUUAUUCUAAGUUAAUGUC